GACGAACGCUGGCGGCGUGCUUAACACAUGCAAGUCGAACGGAAAGGCCCUGCUUUUGUGGGGUGCUCGAGUGGCGAACGGGUGAGUAACACGUGAGUAACCUGCCCUUGACUUUGGGAUAACUUCAGGAAACUGGGGCUAAUACCGGAUAGGAGCUCCUGCUGCAUGGUGGGGGUUGGAAAGUUUCGGCGGUUGGGGAUGGACUCGCGGCUUAUCAGCUUGUUGGUGGGGUAGUGGCUUACCAAGGCUUUGACGGGUAGCCGGCCUGAGAGGGUGACCGGGCGCCGGGGGACGGAGAGAGGGCGCAGGAGCGUAUGGGAGGCAGCGGGGGGGGGUGGGGCGCAGGGGGCGGGAGUGUGAUGCGGCAGCGCCGGGUGCGGGAGGAGGGGCGUGGGGGGGAAAAAAGCUGCCGCCGGUAACGAAGCGGGAGUGACGGUAAUGGGUAAAGAAGCAACGGCGAACUACGUG
rnacentral:rRNA from 1 species